UACGUAGGGGGCAAGCGUUGUCCGGAAUUACUGGGCGUAAAGCGCGUGUAGGUGGGGAAGCAAGUCCGGUGGGAAAGCCCGCGGCUCAACCGCGGAAGGUCGCUGGAAACUGCUUUUCUUGAGGGUGAUAGAGGGAAGUGGAAUUGCUGGUGUAGCGGUGAAAUGCGUAGAUAUCAGCAGGAACACCCGUGGCGAAGGCGGCUUCCUGGAUCACCCCUGACACUGAGACGCGAAAGCGUGGGGAGCGAACGGG
rnacentral:rRNA from 1 species